UACGUAGGUGACCAGCGUUGUCCGGAUUUACUGGGCGUAAAGAGCGCGCAGGCGGUCGUUCAAGUCGAGUGUGAAAGCCCCCGGCUCAACUGGGGAGGGUCAUUCGAUACUGAUCGACUCGAAGGCAGGAGAGGGAAGCGGAAUUCCCGGUGUAGUGGUGAAAUGCGUAGAUAUCGGGAGGAACACCAGUGGCGAAGGCAGCCUCCUGGGCCAACACUGACGCUCAUGCACGAAAGUGUGGGGAGCAAACAGG
rnacentral:rRNA from 1 species